rnacentral:lncRNA from 1 species
AAAUAAAUAAAUAAAUAAGAUAAUAAUAAUAAUACUUGAAAGUCAAAUGUACUCCUUGAUCAGUGGGCUGCAGAAUGGACGCUGUGUUAGCAGGCAUGAAAACAUCUCCUUGUACAUCUCCAUCAGAGCUCUUGGGUGACCAGUUGCAUUGACAAUGAGCAGUCAUAUUUUGAAAUGAAACUUUUUUCUGCACAGGAAGUCUCAACUGUUGGCUUAAAAUAUUCAGUAAACAGAUGUGCUGUCACCCAGGCUUUGUUGUUCUAUUUAUAGCUCAGAGGCCAAGUACACUUAACAUCAUUCUAAAGGUCCCCAGGAUUUUCAGAAUAGUAAAUGAGAAUUGGUUUCAACCGAAAGCCACCAGCUGCAUUAGCCCUUAACAAGAGUCAGGCUGUCCUUUGAAGCCAGUCAUUGACUUCACUUCUCUCUAGGGUGAAAGUCCUAGUUGGCAUCUACUUCCAAUAGAAGACUAUUUUGUUGGGCAGGCGCCGUGGUUCACGCCUAUAAUCCUAGGAAUUAGAAACCAGACGGGGCAACAUGGUGAAACCCCGUCUCUAUAAAAAUACAAAAAAUUAGGUAGGCGUGGUGGCACGCACCUGUAAUCCCAGCUACUCCGGAGGCUGAGGCAUGAGAAUCGCUUGACCUGGGAGGCGGAGGUUGCAGUAAGCUGCAAUCUUGCCAUUGCACUCCAGUCUGAGCAACAGGCUCUUCCCAUCCCCCUGACUCUGACUCAGAAAAAAAAAAAAAAAAAAUAGACCAGGAGCUGUGGCUCACGCUUGUAAUCCCAGCACUUCGGGGGGC